CUAUUGAGACUCGUCAUCCAACCUCCUCGUGGUAUCUCUUGAAUAACGGUAAUACGCUGAAGCGCUCAUUCAACAUAUUUAUCAUAUUAUUAUUGAUAGACGACAAUGGGGGAGUCAGCUAGUACACAAAGAAAGUUUCGGGAAUCAACUCAACAACACCGGAAAAUUCCUGGGCUCGCCGACGAACGAAACCCGAAUAUUAACAAUAGAGCAUUUGGUCUGUCGCGCGCGUCGUAAACGUUCGGCCGAACGGGUGCACCUAACGCCGCCGCCGUCGCGAUUAUUUCGCUAUUUUACGACCGCCGUCCGUUACUCUAUACGCACUUUGUCUGUUAAUAACCUCGACGGUAGAUACCGUGUAUAUUAACCCGGUAAACUAAACUUAUUAACCACGCUAAAACAUAAUAUUAUACGAUAUAUUUUUAUUGCUCCCCGAGUUCGUCGUACAACUCGGGCCCGCGUACUACGCGCAUAAAUCGCCGUGCUGGUACCAAUAAUCGUAAUAGGACGUUCAACAGUGGUUCACAUUUUGUGACAAUUCGUGCUUGACGAUCCGUACCAUAUCAAACCGCGUUGGAUAUUUCGGCCGUGAAAGCCAUAGACGCUACAUACUAGGGACCACUACAGCUGGGUCUUUAGCACUCCCCCCCCCCUCCAAUCCCGAAAUACUCAAAAAGCUGUUUUAUAUUAUAGGCUAAAUAUUUUAUCCGU